rnacentral:lncRNA from 1 species
GAUUCCAGCUCAUCCUCCUCUUCCUCAUCAUCUGAUAGUGAAGAUGAUAAGAAGAAAAAGAAGAGGAAGAAGAAAAAUAAGAAGAAGUCUAGCUCUUCUGAUGAUAGCUCAUCUUCAUCCUCUUCUUCCUCUGAUAGUGAUGAUGGCAAGGUGAGCAACAUGCAUAUUUUUUUUUAAUAAAAAUGAUCCUUUGUACAAUUGCUGAACAGUUCACUGUGUCUUUUUACCCUAGAAAAAGAAGAAAAAGAAUGAUAAGAAAAAGAAGAAGAAGAAGAAUGACAAGAAAAAGAAGAAGGUGAGAAUGUGUCACAUUGCAUCCUGUGUUUUUGAUAUUAGGGAUCUUCAUUUCUAAUAUUUACAUAUCUGAUGUGUCCUUAAUGUUUCUUUGUCCAGGAUUCUUCAUCUUCCUCCUCCAGUGAUUCUUCUAGUGAUGAUGGCAAGAAGAAAAAGAAGAAAAAGGAUAAGAAGAAAAAGAAAAAGAAAGACAAGAAAAAGGACUCAGGAUCUUCUAGUAGUGAAGAUGAUAAGAAGAAGAAGAAGAAGAAAGACAAAAAGAAGAAAAAGAAGAAGGACAAAAAGAAGGACUUGAGGUCCAGAUCAUCUGACAGUUCCAGUGGCAGUGACAAGGAAAAUAAAGACAAGAAGAAAGAGGAAAAGGAAAGCCCUGAUGGCGAACACAGCGGGGAGCCAAACACGGGAACUCCAGGCCCAGGUGGCAGUGGGCUGUCUGCUCCAAGUGGCAGCAGCUCCAAGCCAGGCGGCGCUCCUGUCGUGUCCUACGCCUCACUCCCCUCCAAACCUGUCAUAAACCUGAACCCUCAGAGUCCUUCUGCUGUCUCCAAACCCUCUGCCUCCACCUCCUUGACCAUCAUAGGAGACAGGACCCACAUCCGCAGACCUGUCAGCCCAAUGGAGUCUCUGAUGGGGAGUCCAAGGAGGCUUUGAGCUGAAGUCACGUGAAAGAAACAAAGAAACCAGAAGCCUUAAUAAAAAUGAUCACUCACUAUGCA